rnacentral:misc_RNA from 1 species
UUGCAUUUGUUUUUAGUUAGCUAAAAAUACAAAAAAGCACACACGCGCACACACGCGCACACACGCGCACACACCUGUAUAUGAAUCGAUUACACCGCUAAAUUCAUUAUAACAUAUAACUAUAUAUUGAUCAGUGCCAGCAAGAGAUCAAAAUUGAAAUGCAUUUGUACAAAAAAAAAUAUAUAUACUAAAAAAAAAACAAGAAACGCUCAAAAAUUAUAAGCCAAAAGAAAGUUAAACACCUAUCGAAAGUCACCUUAUAUCUAUAUCACCGUUAUCGUUACCGUUACCGUUACGUUCUUUUGGCAUAGCAUACAACUUCAACGUAGUAAUUUAUAGACUCGAACAAUACUCAUAUAGUAACCCUUGCAAAGAGCUGCCAGCCAGGCAGCCAAAUAGCAAAGGACCAAGGUCAGCCUGCAGGACCUGCUACGCUUUGUUGGGAGAGGAAAAGGAGGCGGAACACCCCGGAUGAGCGUCUGGAGCUGUCGCCCGAUACUCCCAUUCGGCAUGUUGCUGGCCUAAUCUAUGUCCAAUUUGUAUGUAAUUUUUGAUUUGUAUUUUUGAUUUCUUACUCUUAUUAUCGAUCGGAAGAUAUCCUUAGGAGUGUAAGGAUCUAGGUAAUUUUGUAAGUCAUGAAAACAAAUGCAUUUAAACCCAUACCCGAUAACACAAGCAGUGCAGUAAAUGAUUAAACUUAAUAACUAUGAAAUUCGAGAUAUAUAAUAUUUAAAUAUAAUGCGAUCUACACAAGAGAGAGACGAAUAUAAAAUAUUAAUAAAAAUAUGAAAUGAAAGAGAGUUUGUAAAUGAAUGACAGCGUAUUUGAAGACAUUUUUAUUACACACCUAAGAUCGCUAUUAUUUUCGUAAUACGAUUAUUCUGAUUAUUAUUAUGAAUAAUUAUUAUUAAUAAUAAAUAGAUAUACAAAGAACAAAAAGAAAACAUGCAAGAUACACACAACCAAGAAAAAGUGCUAAUGUCGGUAAUACACCUAAAGCUAAGUCAGUGAGAUAGAAAACAAAAAUAAUAAUAAAUUAAAAAUGAUGAGUAAAUAAAUUAAAAAGUAAAAUAAAAAGGAGUAGGAGGCGGAGAUGGAGAUUUAAGUGCAGAUGCAAGUUGUUUAAUAGAUAAAUCUAAAUCAAUAAAUUAAAGUUAUAGAUUUUCAAGAAAAUAUUUACGAGUAUAUACUAUAUACAAUAUAUGUAUACACAAAUAUAUACAUAUAGAUAUAUAUUUAAAGUUUAAGCAAGCAAAGAACCACUAACACUUAAAUAAGCCUAACUUACGAUAAAUUAAACUUAAAGUUAAUCAGAAAGUAACUAAAUGAGAUAUAUGAUAUAUGAGAUAUGUAUUAAUCCAAACCAAAUACUUAUUAAGCGUGACGAUUGAACAAAUUUAAUUUAGAAAAUGAAAACCAAACACACACACACACACCACUUACACGAAUACACAACAAAUGUUAA